UUGAAUAGCAUGGAUUUCUAAUUUUAUUUUGCGACGCUCGCGCACGCGACGUGUCCGGUCUGGUCAGCAUGUAAGACUUACCACCCAAACGAGCCCAGUGGAAACCCUUUGGUACCAUGUUAUUAUGAUCCAACUUCCUGGGUGGAGACAGCUGCCUCUCCCGAGUAUUUUAUGUUGCUGCGAAUGGUGUGUGAACGUAAAUAUGUCCAUUCUGUGAAACAUUAAGAAAUGUAUCACUUAUGUGCGGAAGAGGCGAAAGACAGUUAUUGUAACAAAUUAGGUAAACCAUCAUGAUCCCCAUCACAGAGCUCCGGUACUUUGUUGACACCCAGCCGGCGUACCGCAUCCUGAAGCCAUGGUGGGACGUCUUCACAGACUACAUCUCCAUUGUCAUGCUCAUGAUCGCCGUGUUCGGGGGCACGCUGCAGGUCACCCAGGACAAGAUGAUUUGCCUGCCCUGCAAGUGGGUGGUCAAUAAGUCCUGUGAGUACCUCAAUGUGAGCUUCCCAGACCCAUUUGCCGCUGAGCCCAAAGGCAUCAAGUAUGAACUCGAUCGGCACCAGUACAACUACAUUGACGCGGUCUGCUACGAGAACAAGCUACACUGGUUCGCCAAGUACUUCCCCUACCUGGUGCUACUGCACACCCUCAUCUUCCUGGCCUGCAGUAAUUUCUGGUUCAAGUUCCCCCGGACUAGCUCCAAAUUGGAGCACUUUGUAUCCAUCCUGCUCAAGUGUUUUGACUCGCCCUGGACCACCAGGGCUCUGUCCGAGACGGUAGUGGAGGAAAGCGACCCCAAGCCCCUGGGGAAGAUGAACGGUUUGGUGGACAAGAAGGCAUCUUGUGUCAGCGAGGACGUGGAGGCCAGCAUUCCUAUGCUCCAAAGGACUAGGUCCCGCAUCGAACAGGGCAUCGUGGACCGCUCCGACACCGGCGUCCUGGACAAGAAGGAAGGCGAGCAGGCCAAAGCUCUGUUUGAGAAGGUGAAGAAGUUCCGGAUGCACGUUGAAGAAGGGGACAUCGUUUACCGGCUCUACAUCCGCCAGACCAUCAUCAAAGUCGUCAAGUUCAUCCUGAUCAUCUGCUACACGGCCUACUAUGUGCACUACAUCAAGUUCAGUGUGAUCUGCAAGGUGGACAUUGAGAAGCUGACAGGCUAUAGGAUGUACCACUGUGCUCACCCCCUGGCCACCCUCUUCAAGAUCCUGGCCUGUUUCUAUAUCAGCCUGGUGGGGAUUUACGGUCUCAUCUGCAUGUACACCCUCUGCUGGAUGCUCAGCCGCUCCCUCAAGCGCUACUCUUUUGAGUCGAUCCGUGAGGAGAGCCACUACAGCGACAUACCCGAUGUGAAGAAUGACUUUGCCUUCAUGCUGCACAUGAUUGAUCAGUAUGACCCGCUCUACUCCAAACGGUUUGCCGUUUUCCUAUCGGAGGUGAGUGAGAACAAACUGCGUCAGCUGAACCUCAACAACGAGUGGACGCUGGACAAGCUGAGGCAACGCAUCACCAAGAACUCCCAAGAGAAACUGGAGCUGCACCUGUUCAUGCUUAGCGGAAUCCCUGACACAGUGUUUGACCUCCUAGAACUGGAGGUGCUCAAGCUGGAGCUCAUCCCCGAUGUCACUAUCCCCCCCAUCAUUGCCCAGCUGGUCAGCCUGAGAGAGAUGUGGCUCUACCACACACCAGCCAAAAUCGAGGCCCCAGCUUUGGCCUUCCUGAGGGAGAACCUGAAGUCCCUCCACAUCAAGUUCACAGACAUCAAGGAGAUCCCUCUGUGGAUCUACAGCCUGAAGAACCUGAGUGAGCUGCACCUCACAGGGAACCUGAGCGCAGAGAACAACCGCUUCAUUGUAAUCGACGGGCUACGGGAGCUCAAGAGGCUCAAAGUGCUCCGUUUGAAGAGCAACCUGACCAAGCUGCCUCAGGUGGUGACAGACGUCGGAGUCCACCUCCAAAAGCUGUCCAUCAACAACGAGGGCACCAAGCUAAUGGUGCUCAACAGCCUGAAGAAGAUGAUGAACCUGACAGAGCUGGAGCUGUUGCGCUGUGACCUGGAACGAAUCCCGCACUCAAUCUUCAGCCUACACAACCUGCAGGAGAUCGACCUGAAGGACAACAAUCUCAAGACCAUCGAGGAGAUCAUCAGCUUCCAGCACCUGCACCGGCUGGUAAGCCUGAAGCUGUGGUACAACCAGAUCGCCUACAUCCCCAUCCAGAUCGGCACCUUGACGAACAUGGAGAGGCUCUACCUAAACCGCAACAAGAUCGAGAAGAUCCCGGGCCAGCUCUUCUACUGCCGCAAACUGCGCUUCCUGGACCUGAGUCACAACAACCUGACCAGUAUACAUGCCGAUGUGGGCUUCCUCCAGAACCUGCAGUACUUUGCUGCGACGGCCAACAGGAUCGAGUCGCUCCCGCCGGAGCUCUUCCAGUGCAAGAAGCUGCGCACCCUGAACCUGGGCAACAACUGCCUGCAUACUCUACCGUCGCGCUUCGGCGAGCUGACGGGCCUGACCCAGCUGGAGCUGCGGGGUAACCGUCUGGAGUGCCUGCCCGUGGAGCUGGGGGAGUGCAGGCAGUUGAAGAGGAGCGGCCUGGUGGUGGAGGAGGACCUGUUCAAGACGCUGCCCACAGAGGUCAAAGAACAGCUGUGGAGGGCCGACAAGGAGCUGGUCUGAGGAGAGAGUCCAGAGAGAGAGAGGGAGCCUAAGGAGAGGAGGAAAGCGGGAGAGAGGAUUGGGCAGUGGAGGCUGAUGUCACUUUCAAUUGGAGGCCAUUCUCAAAUUGCUGGACACGCAUCCAGAGAAGGAUGGAUGGAUGAGUUACUGAAUGCUUGUUUUCAUAAGCAACAUUCAAGUUCUCAACGCUCGCAACGCUCGCCUUAUUUCAACAGUCCUGUGCAUCCAGUGUGGGUGGAGCGCCCUCCUGCGGGAGGUCUGAGUAACAGAGGAAAGUGUUCACUGUCAUUUUCUCCAUUUUUUUUUUUUGUAAUGUAAAAAAUAAUGCUGUACGGUUGUGUGUAUUACCAUCAAAAUAUUAGAAUUUUCUGACUCUUAAUGGCCAGUCAUUUAACCACAUUGUGUAUCAUUUGGGUAGCAUACCAAAACAUAGUCUAAGCAGCAUUGAUGCUUCUCGUGAUUAUGUAUUUUACCUGUUUUGGGGAAUAGUUUCUAGGUUAACUCUUAUUGCAUAUGCAUAAAUAGGCAAACUACCUACUUUUUAAUAGGGGGUUCAUGAUACUACACGAUAUGGUUCAUGAUAGAGUUCAAAAGUUGGUCUAAAAAACACAGCCUAUGGAAACAGUUCAGGGAGGCUUCUUAUUACAUAUUGUACUUGGCUUAGUUGAUAAUAACAUAGCCAAGUUAUCACCUAACUAAUGCCAUCUUUAUUCAUUGUGUAUUCAUUCAUCGUGUUAUUUUUCCCUCUGUGAUGUUAUGAAGGGUCGUAAGUAAGCAUUUCACUGUUAGUCUACACCUGUUUACGAAGCAUGUGACAAAUACAAUUUAGUUUUGUGAUAUCUCCGUAGCAUUAACAAAUGACACGGACAUGGCAUGCUCUCUCAAUAUUGGGUAGGGCUACGGAAAUGCACAUUGUCUGUAAAAAAAUGCUUUUUAUUUCUUAUAAGCCAUACUUUGGGUGGUCAACAGGACAAUGAUACAUAUUUCUGUCAGCCAACUGAAUGAGAUCAGUUGGUACAAGCCUGUAUCUUUUUCUUUCUUUGAUGUUUUGCUGGCUGGCAUUGUAAGGGCCCUGAUGUGUGCUGGCUUUAGUUCCUGUCAGGUUUUGGUUCCUUUCCAUCUGCUUGGACAGUCUGGUCAACAUCUCAACCCACACAUUUUAUGUCAUGUUCAUAUACUGUACGCCACCCACAUUGGGCGGCACUAUAAUGUUGCUCUUGUUUCAUUUAAGUGUAAAAACAUAACAUGGACCUGUCAAAGGUUAAUGGGCAAAUGACAAUCUGUAUCUCUUCUACAUCAGUGUUGCCCAUGUAAUGAUAGGUUUUCACGUCGUUGCCAAAAUGAGUGAACACUGGCUUUCUUAGUGGAGAAAUGAUGAAUGCCCCAGACUCUUGUAACAAUGGAAUAUUUGAGCCUUGACAACACCACAACAGUUGUUUUACUGUGCCUAUUUGUUUUUUACCAUUCUGAUAUAAAUGAUAAAGUAAAACACUUA